UCCCUCCUAUAGCUGCGCAGAGCUGCCUCCAUCUGUCCCAUCUCCACCUGUGCAUUCCCAAUGCAGCUGUGGAGGGUCCCAAUCAGUUCACUCUUGUUGGGAAGUUCAUUCUCUGCCCGCCCUUGUAUCUUUUUCAGGAGACGCUCAGCUUUCCUGCAGCUUUCCUCAGCAGAGCCUCUGGCCAGCACUGGGGACAGGGAGCAGAGUUUGACACUGGGGUGUGACACAGAGAUGCUGAGAUGUUGUGAAUUCCCCAUCCCUGGGAGUGUUCCAGGCCAGGCUGGACGGGGCUUGGAGCAACCUGGGCUAGUGGAAGGUGUCCCUGCUUAUGGAAGGGGGUGGAGCUGGAUGAGAUUUAUGGUCCCUUCCAACCCAAACCAUCCUGGGAUUCUGCGGUACUGGGGAAGGGAGACCUAGUGCAGCGGUAACCCUCAGGCAAAGGUUGGGAAUGGUUAGAGCUCCCCACAGCAGUGGGAGGCACUCAGCUUCCAGCCAGGAACCUACUCAGCUCAAUAUCCUCCAUGUCCUUGGCGAUGGCUCUGGCAACUUCAGCCGGUUUCCGUUUCCUGUCCCCGAUCCCCCUCUGCUGCAGGAGCCGGCGCUCGUACAGCCGGGCGUAGAUCGGCUUCUGCUGCUGCCAGAAGUCCCGGCGCUGGUUCAGGUAGGAGAUGCCAUCCAAAACCAGGUCUUCGACUUUCCCCCCCUGCCUCAGGUUGAUCUGCAUCAAGUCUGGAAAUCAGAUAAGGUAGAAUCCGGGUGAGUAUCAAUGGACCUGAGCUGCAGUGAAGUGGGAAUUGCUUGGGAAUGUUCUUCUGGUCUGACAGAGACAGUCCUGGAAACUAAAUUGUCCUGUGCUCCUCAGAGCUGAGGUAAUGGGGGAGUUACCAGCAUUUAGAACAAACCCACAGAGGAGUCACAGCCCCGUGAGCAGCGCUCGGCACUGAGUGUGUCAGCGGGUUUGUCGUUGUGACAGAAGUUCAGUCACUUGCAAUGAAGCUGUUUCUCUUUCUCAUUUCAUCAGCACAGGUUGCUCUGAGUUGAUUUAUCGAUGGGGAAGGAAAUAAGCCCAUAGUUAUAAAUGUUGGACCUGGCUCCAAACCUGCCCGUGUCCAGCACCACGUGCUCUGGUACGAGUCAGGAAGAGUCACAGGGACAAAAACGAAGAAGAGAAAUAAAAAAAGGAUAAGAGGAAAAGAAAAACAGAACCUGCUUGGAAGGAACAUUUAGGUAAACACAAUGGAGAAACACCUUCAUCCUUGAGCAACUUCUCCAGGAAGGUCUUGUCAUCGUAAAGCUGUCCCAGAAGCUCUCGUUCUGUUUUUGGAUUCUUCACACGCUGCUUCUUUUUUGUCCCUUUUUGAUCCUUUGUUGGUAUGUUUUGCAGUUUCUGGUUGUUUUUUCUGCUCUAUGGUGAGAAAAAAAGCAAAGGAAGUUGGGGGAGAUCAGUGGGGAACACUGGAAUGAUCAGAAGUCUGUCAUGCUCCAUAUAAGGCAGCUUAUUUUUUAAUUAAAAGGAAAAAGUCAGUGUCUCACCAGCUGCUUUGGUCAUGAGCAAGUGAAAUUCUGCAGCCAGUCGUGCUCCCUAAGGACCAAGAGGGUGUUACAGGAAAAGCAAGAACUAGUUCUGGCCUCUUGGAGGAACAAGACCCUACUGCCAUGGAGCACCCCGAAGUGAAGCAAUUGAGAAAGUGUCCAUUAUCAAACCUGUGACCUUAAACAUCAGGUAAACCCAAAGUCAAUACUGGAGCUCAUGGCACCCUGCUGACCUCAGGGCUGUUACUCAUUAGCCUCAGAUGGGCGACCAGUAACACCCCCAGGAAGGGGCUGGGGAGGAAUUCCACACUGGGCUUUGUUUCUCCCCAUGGCUCUUCCCUGCCCUUCUGCAUUCUCCUCUAAGUUCUGGGUGGUUUGAGCCAGACCUGCACUAGAAGCAGGUGAUAAACACUCAUGAUGGGUCAGUCUGUUUCAGCAGACCUGCUGUACAGGACCUGUGUCCCUGCAGGGACUGUCUCCCUUCCCGUGCCCAUUUCAGGCAGUUUUAGCAUUGCAACCACUCUAGAAGCUUCUCCAGCAAGAGCUCUGUGCUGUACCUCUGCCUGCCUGCUCACGAAGCCCAGCUCCUCCUUGUUCUCCAGCUUCACCGAGGCUGGAUCUGCAGACACAGAGGAAACCCCUGUUAGUGCCCACAACAGCCAUGCGGGCUCUUGUCAGUAAAAUGCCCAUAAAGGUGCCAAGCCCAAAAUGUUCAGUUUGAACCGAAGAUGUUCUAAUUCUUUCCCAUGGAACAGGAGGUGUUGGUGUGUCCUGGGUGCAGGGAACGCAGCUCAUCCACCAGCUCCUCUCGGGAUUUUAAUUCCUAUUUUACACAGCACCGAGGGCUCUCAUUGCAGCAUUCCUACAGACAGGCUACAUCCUGCAUGGAAACUGGGGAAGGAGAAGGAUGCAGGUUCUUCUGGGGAAUCACAGCUGGAGUGUAAAAUGGCAGGAAAGCUCCGAGCACAGGGAGCUCCUGCAAUCCAGAGAAUUAUUCUAAAGCCCAGGGGCUCGAGGGAAGUUAGAGACCUUGCCUUGAGCCCAGGAAGAUUCCAGCUGGGAGCUGUGGCAAUACCUGAUCAUUGUGCUAAGCUCAGGAAGCAGCAGGAAUGGAGGAAAACAAGCCAGAGGUGAAAACUUUCCCUGUUUUUUUUAAAUAACAAUUCCAUAUGAAAGUGCCACAGGCUCUGGCACCACUGGCACGACCCGCUGGUGAUCUGAGCCAGAAGUGAUGAAAGCAGAGCUCAUUGCAAGAGUCAACAGUUUCACUGCUCUUGUGCAAUGGAAAUUGGAGGAGAGUCAGGAUUUUGGGAGGCCAGUCUCAGGCAGAAGGGAGAACCCAGGGGUGUCACGACCUGAGUGCAACAAACCCCAGUCCUGGAGCUGACUGAGCACCUCCACUGCUUCAAGAGCAGCAGAAACCUCAGGAGUGUUUGGUGUGAGCUGUUCCCUCCCAGCUCUGCCUCAGACCCUGCAGGGUCUCACAGACCCAGGUCAGCCCUGGCUCCCCUGCUCUCACCACUUCCUCUGGUUACCUCGGUGAACGCUUUGUCUCUUUGGAGCGAGGCUUCAGCAUCCUUCAAGGAGUUUUCUGUGUCCCCAAGUUUCAGGAAGCAUUUGGAGCGGGUGAUAAGGCACUGCUUGUCCCCUGCCCUCAGCUUCAGUGCCUGGAACCGCAGACACGGACACGUCACCAGUGCUGGCUCAACACCACAAAUACACAAGUGCAGGUAUUUGGUGCCACCUGCACAGUCCCCACAUGGAUCUUGAUGACAGAUGAUGAUAAAACCGCAGGAUUUUUAUUGAAAAGAGCCUUCCCUUGCAGUUCACAGCUUCCCUGUACUGUAGGGGCUGCCCUGCCUGGGUCACCCCCUGGUGCCGAGACCUCCUGGGGACACGUCCCUCCGAGCCACCUCCCCUCGCCGCGGGUGCCACGUUCCGUCCGCUGCCUCUUCCCCCUCCUGAAUCGAGUCGUGGCC